UACGUAGGGUGCGAGCGUUAAUCGGAAUUACUGGGCGUAAAGCGUGCGCAGGCGGCGCGUUAAGACAGGUGUGAAAGCCCCGAGCUUAACUUGGGAAUUGCGCUUGUGACUGGCGUGCUGGAGUGUGGCAGAGGGAGGUGGAAUUCCACGUGUAGAGGUGAAAUUCGUAGAUAUUGGGAAGAACACCGGUGGCGAAGGCGGCGACCUGGCCCGAUACUGACGCUGAGGUGCGAAAGCGUGGGGAGCAAACAGG
rnacentral:rRNA from 1 species